rnacentral:rRNA from 1 species
UACAGAGGUCUCAAGCGUUGUUCGGAUUCAUUGGGCGUAAAGGGUGCGUAGGUGGCGCCGUAAGUCGGGUGUGAAAUUUCGGAGCUUAACUCCGAAACUGCAUUCGAUACUGCGGUGCUUGAGGACUGGAGAGGAGACUGGAAUUCAUGGUGUAGCAGUGAAAUGCGUAGAUAUCGUGAGGAAGACCAGUGGCGAAGGCGGAUCUCUGGACAGCUCCUGACGCUGAGGCGCGAAGGCUAGGGGGGAGCAAACGGG